UGGCUCAGAGGGUAGAGCUUCGGACUUCUGAUCCAAAGAUCGUGGGUUCGAGCCCUAC
rfam:Trichomalopsis sarcophagae strain Alberta scaffold1623, whole genome shotgun sequence.